GUGCCAGCCGCCGCGGUAAUACAGAGGGUGCAAGCGUUAAUCGGAAUUACUGGGCGUAAAGGGUGCGUAGGUGGUUAUGUAAGUUGGGUGUGAAAUUCCUGGGCUCAACCUGGGGACUGCGCUCAAUACUGUAUAGCUAGAGUACUGUAGAGGAAGGUGGAAUUUCCAGUGUAGCGGUGAAAUGCGUAGAUAUUGGAAGGAACAUCAGUGGCGAAGGCGACUUUCUGGACAGAUACUGACACUGAGGCACGAAAGCGUGGGGAGCAAACAGGAUUAGAAACCCUAGUAGUCC
rnacentral:rRNA from 1 species